rnacentral:rRNA from 1 species
AUGACGGCGCUCGCGACCAUCCUCUGCGGCGGCGCCGUCGCCGGCCACCAGCGGUCACGCCGCCGCGCAGCCCCAUCGCUCCAUGUCAGAGGCGGCUCCGCCUCGGACGCCGCCCACCUUGUCUGCGGUAGGAAGCUCCGCCCGGCGCUGUUCCCCGCUUCCUCCUUCGGCACCCUGCCCCUGUCUUCUCCGGGGAGUAGGAAGCUCCUCCGGACGUCGGCUUCCGCGGCCGCCCCCUCAUCCGACUCCCAGGGGCAAGCAAAGCCCAUUGGGUUUUUAGAGAGGUACCCGGCUCUUGUCACUGGUUUCUUCUUCUUCAUGUGGUAUUUUUUGAAUGUGAUAUUUAACAUCCUCAACAAGAAGAUCUUUGAUUACUUCCCCUAUCCAUACUUUGUGUCGGUGACCCAUCUUUCGGUUGGAGUCUUGUACUGCCUUAUCAGCUGGAGCACCGGUCUCCUAAAGCGUGCGCCGAUGAAUUCAACGCUUUUGAAGCUGCUGCUGCCAGUUGCAAUUUGCCAUGCCAUCGGUCAUGUAACGAGCACUGUGUCUUUUGCUGCUGUAUCGGUCUCAUUUGCCCACACCAUUAAAGCUCUCGAGCCGUUCUUCAAUGCGGCUGCUUCACAGUUUAUUCUCGGGCAGCAAGUUCCCUUCACAUUGUGGUUAUCCCUGGCUCCAGUUGUGAUAGGUGUAUCAGUCGCAUCUCUCACUGAACUCUCAUUCAACUGGACUGGUUUCAUCAAUGCCAUGAUUUCUAAUAUCUCAUUCACCUACCGUAGCAUUUAUUCAAAGAAAGCUAUGACUGACAUGGAUAGCACCAAUCUGUAUGCCUAUAUCUCUAUAAUUGCUCUCAUCGUCUGCAUUCCUCCAGCACUCAUUAUUGAAGGACCUCAACUAGUGCAGCAUGGAUUUAAAGAUGCAAUUGCCAAAGUUGGAUUAACAAAGUUAGUUUCCAAUAUUUUCUUGGCGGGCUUGUUCUAUCACCUUUAUAACCAGGUUGCAACAAACACAUUGCAGCGGGUGGCCCCUCUAACACAUGCCGUCGGCAACGUGUUGAAACGUGUCUUUGUCAUCGGCUUCUCAAUCAUCAUUUUCGGCAACAAGAUCACCACACAAACUGGAAUUGGCACAGGCAUUGCUAUUUCUGGUGUUGCCCUAUACUCAGUUAUCAAGGCUAAGAUUGAGGAGGAGAAAAAGGAAGGCGUGGCGGCGGUGGCUCCCUGA